AUUGAACGCUGGCGGCAUGCCUUACACAUGCAAGUCGAACGGCAGCACGGGAGCAAUCCUGGUGGCGAGUGGCGAACGGGUGAGUAAAGUAUCGGAACGUGCCCAGUCGUGGGGGAUAACGUAGCGAAAGUUACGCUAAUACCGCAUACGAUCUAUGGAUGAAAGCGGGGGAUCGCAAGACCUCGCGCGAUUGGAGCGGCCGAUAUCAGAUUAGGUAGUUGGUGGGGUAAAGGCUCACCAAGCCGACGAUCUGUAGCUGGUCUGAGAGGACGACCAGCCAAACUGGGACUGAGACACGGCCCAGACUCCUACGGGAGGCAGCAGUGGGGAAUUUUGGACAAUGGGCGAAAGCCUGAUCCAGCCAUGCCGCGUGCAGGAUGAAGGCCUUCGGGUUGUAAACUGCUUUUGUACGGAACGAAAAGGUUUGGCCUAAUAAGCUGAGCUCAUGACGGUACCGUAAGAAUAAGCACCGGCUAACUACGUGCCAGCCGCCGCUGUAA
rnacentral:rRNA from 1 species